GCGCGGAUGGGGUAGUGGUAACCUAGUUGCUUGCCACCUGCGUAAUCUGCAAUUGCCACGGGUUCGAUUCCCGUUCCGCGCA